rnacentral:rRNA from 1 species
UACGAAGGGGGCUAGCGUUGUUCGGAAUUACUGGGCGUAAAGCGUGCGCAGGCGGUUUUCCAAGUCAGUGGUGAAAGCCCGGAGCUCAACUCCGGAACUGCCAUUGAAACUGUGAGACUCGAGUACGAGAGAGGUGAGUGGAAUUCCCAGUGUAGAGGUGAAAAUUCGUAGAUAUUGGGAAGAACACCGGUGGCGAAGGCGGCUACACUGGCUCGUAACUGACGCUCAUGCACGACAGCGUGGGGGAUCAAAACAGG